rnacentral:lncRNA from 1 species
UUUUUUUUUUUUUUUUUGAGGUCAUCAUGAGUCAAUCUUACACCUUGAAAGAGCCUGGUUACCCAAAGAGGAAGAUGGAGAAAAGAAGAGGACACUGUUUGAUGUGGUUCUUGCUAAAUGAGAAGAGGAGUAGAGAUUAAUUCCUGAAUGGCAUUUCACCAUCAUUUAUUGUGGUAAAAUGUCAUGAAUUGUCCUUCAGUGUACAAGUUCUCUGAGCAAUUACCUUCAUGUGCUUUUCCACUGAAGAAGCCAGAGAAGAAAAGGAGCUCAAAGGUCACUCUUGUGCCUGGAAAACCUUCUGCUACCCAGCCUGCCUCAUGAGAUUGUCCUCCUGGGGUAUAGUCCUUUUGACUACAUGAAGGAGUGUACUUGGGGGCCUGAGGGAAGGCCUGGGAAAAAGGUGAACCCUUUUUUUUUUAGGAGAGAGAUGCCUGUGGGGCAGGCUUGGCCAUCUGUUCCUGAGAAAGAACCACCACUGUAAAGACAGGAGGGGUGUCACUGGAUCAGUGCCACAGAGUCAUACAGAUGGAUACAUUUGCAUGAAAAUAAUUCAUGAUGAUUUCAUAUUAUUUUUUUUCCUUUUAAGUUUCUUCUGGAUGAUUUCCUCAGAACUCUGCAUCACUUUGAAAAUAUAUACAUGAUAAAGUGCUUUAAAUUCCCUACAUAGAAGAUAUCUUCAAAAGUUUUAUUAAUUGCUAAGCUAAUAUUGAAGUUUAAUAUAUUUUGCUAGCAUUUCUUAAAAAUGUUUUCCUUUGACAUUUCAUAUUUUUCUUAACAAUAAAAUUUUCCUGAAUCAACA